GAGUUUGAUCGUGGCUCAGAUUGAACGCUGGCGGCAUGCCUUACACAUGCAAGUCGAACGGCAGCACGGGAGCUUGCUCCUGGUGGCGAGUGGCGAACGGGUGAGUAAUGCAUCGGAACGUAUCCUGGAGUGGGGGAUAACGUAGCGAAAGUUACGCUAAUACCGCAUAUUCUGUGAGCAGGAAAGCGGGGGACCUUCGGGCCUCGCGCUCUUGGAGCGGCCGAUGUCGGAUUAGCUAGUUGGUGAGGUAAAGGCUCACCAAGGCGACGAUCCGUAGCAGGUCUGAGAGGAUGAUCUGCCACACUGGAACUGAGACACGGUCCAGACUCCUACGGGAGGCAGCAGUGGGGAAUUUUGGACAAUGGGGGCAACCCUGAUCCAGCCAUGCCGCGUGAGUGAGAAGGCCUUCGGUUGUAAG
rnacentral:rRNA from 1 species